GGUUUCUGAAAAUGAGUUCUGACACCUCAGAGGGGCUUUCCUAUGCUUUCUUUGUUCCAUUGGAAAGAUCAGGGCUUCUAUUGCUAAACUUGUGCAAAAGCAGUUUGCAGUGGCUGGGACAAGGGCUUUGAAAUCAGACAGACCUGUGUGGAGAUGCUGGACUCUACCGCUUCCUAACUGAGUGACACCAGGUAAACUGGCAGCCCACUGGAUAAGCAGGUCAGCUUAUCCAGAAAGAGCAAUGAGAAGAGAAUGUGGGUGCUGACUCUACUCACCAUCCGACUGGGGCUCAGCCUAGUGCUUUCAAAAUGAUGAGGUACUGCCUUUUAUCAAUUCUGAAGGCACAUUUAAUCUUUCUUUAUUUUAAUACUAAAAAUGCUCUAUGGGUUUCAGGCACUGUUCUAAAAAUGUUACUUUUGGUUUCUAAAGUGAUGCUAAUUGCCAGAUAUGACAGUGACCUAGCUUCUCUAUCUAAACAGCAGACUUGGGUAAGUCAGAUAUUCUGAGUUUUAAUCCUGGCUCAGUUAUGGGUUGCUGAAUGCUUUGCUUUUAAGGAGACAGAGGCCGGAACUUUCCUGUGAGAAACUGUUCAGGUUCAUUGAAUCCUUUCAUCGCCGAGUCUUGAGAGAAAGACCCUGGAGUGGUUUUCACCAUGCUCACCUCUUGCUUUCCAACCAUGACGGUGUCCACCCAACCCGUCUGCUACUGGAGAGCCACAGUGAGGGGGAUUGGAGGGAGUGAAGAAGGAAAGCAGGUUGGGUGAGAGGCCAAGGGGAAGAGAAGAAAAGGCCCCCCAAGAAGGCUUGAGGGCUACACUCCCAGACUCAGCCCCUCCCAGGCCCACUCCCUUCCUGCCCACUUGAGCUCUGGAAAAAGACAUUCAGUAUUUGUUGUGAGGAAAAGUCAGACCAAAUAUUCUGGAAUUCGAGCAAGAUAAAAACAAAUCUGGUUUUACUAUUCUCUGGCUUAGUUUUGCUGAGCUCUGGAAAAUUAUGAGUUAUUUCAUGAUGAAAAUAAUUUUUUUUUCUGUUUCUGAUUACAGAAUAUCGUUGUCAGUUUUAGAAAAAAGAACUGAUAAGGUUUAAGUAUUCCAGCCUGCUAUUUCCAUUUUGAGUGACUGCACAAUUGUUUUCUGGGAAAAUCUAAAAGGCUGUGGAGAUUUUCCUUUAGAAAUAUUUGUAAUAAAAAGAACAAACUUCAAUUCGGCUUUAGGAAAACACAGGUAUGGGUGUUGGGCAGCCUAUCUUUUAUUUCUGGUUCUGACGGUAACCUGCUGUGCAGUUCUGUUCAGUCUGAAGGAGAUGAAAAGGAAAUUAAUGUAUUAAUUGUUAAUAUAACAGGCUACAAAAAAAAGUUUCCUAUUUUCACUCACAUUAGUACUAGUGUUGUACUCAAAAUUCCACCAUUGUUAUUGACUCUCACCAUCUCCAGCCUUAAGAAAACCAUCCUACCCAGAACGGACUGGCAGCGGCUGAGGCAAAGAGGAGGGGAAAAGGGUGACUAUUUGUUACCUCUCAUCUGACAUCAUUAACAGGAAUAAUGACAUCAUGGUACUUUAUAUUUAAAGAGUUUAUUCACAGAAGGGUCUUAGCUGUCCUCACUAGCAGGUAAGGGAAAUUGGGAGCUAACUGAAGUAGCAGUUGUGUUACGAGUUCUAGGUUCCCAUCUCAGAUCCAUCACCUAAUAGCUACAGAACACCUAUUCUACACCUGCUCAGGUACAGUACUUAAUCUCUCCAUGCCUCAGUUUCAACUGUCCAUUUAAGAUAGCAAACAUGCCCAUUGUGAGGGGGAAUGAGUUGGCACAUAAAGUAAUUAAGACAGUGUCUGAUGCCUAGUAAGUACCUAACAAGUAUUACCUUUCUUCUGACAUUCUCAUUCUAACUGCUGUAUUUUUCAUGGUUCACUUCCUCUGAUUCUCAUCCCCAUCCCAAAUGUUCCAGUCUGGACUAUCCCCCUUCCCUCUUAAGUUUCCAUCUUUCAGGAGUCAGUUCAAAUUCCACCCCAUCAUGGAAUUUUCCUAGCCCCAACAAGUCCUUCAUUUCCUAAUAUCAAGUAAUCUACUUCAAGUAUUUUUCUCUGAUUGUGUGAUGUGCGUUAUUCUUCGCUCUCUACCUACAGUGUAAACAUCAUGAGAUUUUAUGUUUUUCUGAAACCCUGACCCCAUUCUAGAGGAGAAAAGAGAAGGGAAACCAGCAUUGAUUGAGCACUUCCUAUGAAUCAGACCCUGUACCAAGUGCUUCACACAUGUCAUCCUCAUAACUCAGUGAGAUAAACAUUACUACCCUAGUUUUAAAGAUGAGGAGACAGGUUCAAAGAAGUUGAGUAGUUUUCUGAGAUCAAACAGUAAGCAUGUGGGACAGCUAGAUUCAGACCAGGUCUGUCUUUCUAAUCUAUACUGAUUUACCUCAUAAAAGGUUCUCAACAUCAAAAUUCAUGGCCUUGACUUGGGAGGAUGAGAUAGGAGGAUCUCGAGUUCAAAGCCACCCUCAGCAAAAACUGGUUACUAUGCACAAUGGCAGUGCUAAAUAAGAAAAAAAACUGAUUGAUUCUUAGCAUGUUUGAAAAUCAACACAUGAAGUAUGCCUCUCUCUGAUCCUGUGGAGUAUCUCAUCCUUAAGAUAAAGACAUAGCUGGGACUGAGCAAGUAGGAAGAGACGUUUGUCAUUGGUCUUUGAAGUCAUCUAGCCAAGAGUCCAGGCGUGAAAGAACUGGUGAUAGUGGAAGGUUAUGACUGCUUCUGUAAUCCUUUAAGGUACACAUGAUCCUCUUGAAAAAAAAAAAAGGGACCAGAACCUGUAGGGUAGUGACUGUCCAUUUGUAUGCAGCUAAAGUCCUAUGGAACCCAGAAUCCUGGAACUAUGAGCAAGUCUUGUGGACUUCCUGUUUCCAUCAAGGUCUAGAAAGGGAUCACUGCUGAGAACAGAUGCCCAGCUGCUUUGAAACAGGGAGGACAGGCAAACUCUUUUCCUGCUCGUGGACUCCUCCUGCCCUCCCUAGGACCACACUGAAAUGACUAAAUAUGGCUGUUGCUCCAGUGAAUCCAGUCAAAUAAAUAAGUCAAUUCUCUUUUAA